rnacentral:misc_RNA from 1 species
GGAAGUAAAAGCGUAACAAGGUCUCCGUUGGUGAACCAGCGGAGGGAUCAUUACCGAGUUUACAACUCCCAAACCCCAUGUGAACCUUACCAAACGUUGCUUCGGCGGGAUGCCCCGGGCGCGGGCCGCAAGGCCUCAGCCCCGGAACCAGGCGCCCGCCGGAGGCCCAAACCAAACUCUUGUUUUUGUAGAAUCUUCUGAGUGGCCUUUUAGGCAAAAAAUGAAUCAAAACUUUCAACAGCGGAUCUCUUGGUUCUG